rnacentral:lncRNA from 10 species
CACGGUUGGGCCCUGAAGUCGCCUGCGUGGUGACCCAGGAAAUCCCCGAGCCGAGCCGUAAGGUCCUUAAGUGAGUAACUUUGCCCUGGAGGAAAGUGGAUUCUACGAAGGGAGUUAAGAACAGACACUGAGUCCCAGCAACUCUGGAGGCUGAGGCGGGAGCAUCGCUUGAGCCCAGGAGUUCGAGGCAGCCGUGAGCCGUAAUCGUGUCGCGCCACUGUACUCAAGCCUCCAGACCGGGCGACAGAGCAAGACCCCGAGACCCCUCCCAUUAAAAAAAAAUGAACACUGUACGAAACGCUGCGGUUUCAGAGCUGGAAGAGACCUCAGACAUUCAAUCCCUUUUCCCAAAAUUCACUGGAAGAGCUCGAGGAAAACUUUCCCUUGCAGCUGUCUCAGUCUUUACAGUGCUUAGUUACGAAGACAGUCUUAACAGUCCCAUCUUUCGCCCUGUAAUUCAAGGUCAUUUUUCAUUCUUUCUGUUUAAUAAUUGCAAAUAAUUUGGGUAGGAAUUUCGUUGAGCCUCACAAUUUAUGGGUUCCUAGAAAACCACUCAUCGUCAUUAUUAACAUUCAUUAGAUGUUUCUCUUAAAUCCUAGACGGUAUUCCUAAAUCAGGAAUUUUAAUAGAUCAGAAUACGGCAGUCUGUUUUCCUGGGCAUCAAUUAUAAUAUAACCUUGUACUGUCACACUGGUCUUUGACUUCGACGAUGAAAAAGAAAGAAAGGCUCAGAAAGAUGGGUCCCGGAAGCAGCCGAGGAAAACAGUAUCUCUGUAGAAGCUAUUAAUGUUUCACCUACCA